ensembl:snoRNA
CCCGCCACUACACCCGUCUGCUGGUGACUGAGUGUAAUCCAGUGGAGGCUCAGAGCGACCCGGCUUCAGGAAACAGAGCUGUUCACACUAAUGGACACCUCUGUGCCGAAAAGUCUGGAACAAGA